rnacentral:rRNA from 1 species
AAGCGGAGGAAAAGAAACUAACAAGGAUUCCCCUAGUAACGGCGAGUGAAGUGGGAAAAGCUCAACUUUGAAAUCUGGUACUUUCAGUAUCCGAAUUGUAGUCUCAAGAAGUGUUUUCUGUGCCGGUCCAUGUAUGAGUCUGUUGGAACACAGCGUCAUAGAGGGUGACAACCCCGUUCAUGACAUGGAUCCCGGUGCUUUGUGAUACACUCUCGAAGAGUCGAGUUGUUUGGGAAUGCAGCUCAAAUUGGGUGGUAAAUUCCAUCUAAAGCUAAAUAUUGGCGAGAGACCGAUAGCAAACAAGUACCGUGAGGGAAAGAUGAAAAGCACUUUGGAAAGAGAGUUAACAGUACGUGAAAUUGUUGAAAGGGAAACGAUUGAAGUCAGACGUGCGUGAUGCGGUUCAGCUUUAGUUCGCUAGAGUGUACUCCGUAUCUUUGCAGGCCAACAUCGGUUUUGUUAGUCGGAUAAAGGUUUGAGAAAUGUGGCACCUUCGGGUGUGUUAUAGUCUCAGACUGAAUACGAUUGAUGGGACCGAGGAACGCAGCGCGCCGCAAGGCAAAGGUUCCGACCUUUUCGCGCUUAGGAUGUUGGUGAAAUGGCUUUAAACGACCCGUCUUG